rnacentral:lncRNA from 1 species
GGCCCACACCCACGGCCACCCGCCGCUGCCCUCGGCCCACGUGGGGCACACAGCGCACCACCAUGGGCAGCCCCCUGCCCCGCCGCCCCCCACCAGCAGCAAGGCCAAACCCAGCGGCAUCAGCACAAUUGUGUAGACAGCCUGGGCAGGGGUCCCAGGCUCCCUGAAACAGCUGCACACCACACAGGGCACGCCCGGGGGUCGCCAGCCGCACACCAAACCCGGGGCACUUCUGUUGCCAUCUCUCCCCUCUGCCCCUCACGGCCCAACCGGAGCCCCAGGAGCCCACAGGGCUGGUGUUGUGUGGAACAAAGGCCCAGAUUUCAUUUCUUGUUGGCACCCUGGGCUCUGCUCACCUCAGUCUGAGGGAUGGGUGGGCCUCAGACACCAUCAGCCUUGAAACGGUGCCGCCAGCCAAGUAGUGUUGAACUGCCUCCCCCACUCCAGCUCUCAGCUCCCUGUGCCCUAAUGUACAUGCAUAUGAAAACCCAACCUAGAAAACGAAGAAAUGAGAUACAAAAACAGACAAAACAAACCCCAAAACUUGCUGCAUUAUUGCUCUUUUAUUGACAAUGGGCAAAAAAAUAAGUAGACCUGAUAUGGUUGAUGAAAAUACAGUCCUCCGAGAGGGGCACCCAUACACGGCAGAAGUGUUCAUCUCCAACAUGAAAGUGACCAGCUCUCAUCCUCGUCUCCCCAACACCAUAACGUCCUCAUCCCGCCUCCAACCCACACCAGGCCGAAGCCCUCAGAGAGUGUUUUCAUCAGGAACCACUCUCGAACCUGAAGGUUGACUUUAGCGUUUAGCAACCCAGGGCGGUGUGUGUGUUUCCUGUUUUGUUUUCUGAGUGGUAGCAGUGAUCAUCGUAAUUCCAUGUAGCCAUGUGCUAGCAGAACCCCUGUGUCAUCACCGUGGCCCGUGUGACCCCAGCCGACGAGUGCCCGGCGGAGCCCCCACUGCCUUCCCAUGGUCCAGUGAGCUGCCAGGGCAUCACAUGACUCUCAGCUGUGCUCUUGUCGCUUCUGUGUUGUGGUGACACCAUGCGCUCCCCGGGGCCAGACCUGCACGCGGCGGGUCUGUGCCCGAGUCACCCACGGGCCAUACUUUGUAGUUUCAGCCUUUCGAGCCACUGCAGCCGUCAGUGCUGUGCUCCUAAGCCAUGGGACCCGAGGACUGCCCCCCGGCGCCUGCCCAGGCGGAGGCCCUUUCAGAAAGGGCGAAGCUCACGCCUGACUCUGCGGGCCGCGGGGCCGCGUGCUCAGUGGACAGCGUGGUGAGCCGUGGCCGGACGGCAGGAGGAGAGGGGAGCCCCCUCUGGCUGUGUGUCACCUUGGCUGGCCGGCUGGCCAGGGUUUUGCCGAUUUCCCUCCUCACAUCCCUCCCCCCCUCGGUCAUAUCAUUGAGAUCACCGUACCAGCAAAUCUGCAAACCAAGCACUUUGUUAAUCUCCACAGAGAGCAAAUACAGCAAUCUAGAGUUUAGCCUUUUUAAAAAUGUGACUUUAACCCGCCCACCUGUGUCCUCCCAUUGGCGUGGCAUUUCUUUGGUGUCUGCUCAGAAAGAAACAGCAUGGGACCGUGUGAUUGGGUCCAGUCUGGGCUGUCAGGGAAGCGCCCUGGUGUCCCCGACUCAUCAAUUCUUGGGUCUUUUUUAAAAGCCAGGCUCCCCAAAGCACUCUCUGUCUCGCGAUUUUGAGAAGGUGGUUCCGACCUGGAAGCGGAAACUGCUGCAUGUCAUCUGGCGUCAGCUGUGAGGCUGCGCUCUGCGUAUUGUGCGUUUGCAAAAUGUAUUGGUGUGACUGUAAACACAUCGUUGAAGUAAAGCGAUUACAUAUUGAGUAUGUCAGCUUUUCUCACCCUCUUCUGUGCCGGGAGGAGAGUCUAACUGUAACCUUUAGGUUGUUCCAGAAAAGAUUCAGGCCGUUUGGCACAGAAUUGCUCUUUCUGAAGGGUAGCAGUAAUGAAUAGGAACAGACAGAAAACCCCAGGAGGGGCUUUCAGGAAACUCUCCCUCUCCAUCGCCAUCCUGCAAGCUCCACAGCCUCGGGCUGCCAGCCUGUGGCACUGUCCUCGGUGUGUCCUGGAGCUGUGCUGGGCAGCAGGGCCUUGCGUAAGGAACUGCUGGAACCCACUGAGCCCUUCCCGGGGUUUCCCGCCGCACUCAGUGUGUUCCUUCAGGCUAGUGAGGUUUCAUCCUGUUUUAUUUGCAAGCUUAUCAAAAGUUUGUGGAAGAUACAUUGUUGGGUUCCAGAGGCUGGAGUCAUGCUGCCCACAUCUUGUUUGGGAAAGCAAAAGCUCCCAGUGAGCUGGUGUCCCCGUGUGUCUUUCAUGGGACUGUCCCCUUUAGAGAUCCCCACCUGUCAGAGCCACAGCUUCGGGGUCCUGUCAUCACAUCCCCUGGGAGGGGAGGCAGGAGGCGGCCGAGGGCCCCAGGAUGUCUGCCUGGUCCCUUCUCACUGUGAGGACGCCUUUGGCACACCUUUCUCAAGUCACAAAUUAUUGCAGUUACAUACAGAAUUGCUGACAGGAGCAGGAGACACUGAGGGAAACAGCUGGCAAUGUGACAAAAGUCUUUUCUGGGACAACAAUCAAAUCAUGUAUUUGUAUUUUUUUAAGUUUACCAAUGAAUUGUACAACAAUGUAAAAAUAAAGUUCAUCCUAAUAUGCUGUGCACAUCUUGCUUAAAAAUGUCUUCAGCACCCAGUGCAGUGAUCUUUCCCUCACACACUGCAUGCGGCAGGAGCCUCUUUUUUUUAAUGAGCUGAAAAGACAGAUGUUCACAGCUGAUGCUGGGUGUUGACUCAGCGCCACGGGAAGCUCUGUGCCCGCAGGUAAGCACGCACAGUCUUACAGUUCUCCUUGUAAAAUAUCACCCUUCCUGCCUGAGAAACCAGUACAUUUGUAUUUUAUGUAACAACAAUAGUCAAGGCAGCAUUGCAACACUGAGCAGGGUGAGGUGGGGGUGCUGAGCACAGGACAAGAGGGAGGAGGCCUGCCCUCCAUUCAGAUGCAUCUGUGUCGCCCUUCUGUGUGCAGUCACAUCGAGACUGCACACAGCAUGCAUCUCCUCUUGGAAAAUAUCUUUUGCCUCCGAGUUGUUUUAAGCAAUUAGAAUCAGGUCCUGAAUUCCCCAGACUGUUCAGAGACUUCAAGGGACACCUCCCUCACAAGAAGCCUGGCACCCCCACUGUGUACCUUUGAGAGGAAAGGAGUGUGUUUGUUUUCAUCUGCAUUCUGUUUGUCAGUGGCAACAGACUCUAUCAAUGUAAAACCAUGGUUGUGAUCAUGUGGGGAAAUCAAAU